rnacentral:lncRNA from 1 species
AUCUAUUAGCAAAGUGCUGAAGUAGAACAUUCCGAACAGCUUGGUCCUCGUAAACCCACUGCCCACUGCUAUCUUUUAAUGCAGAAAUUCGACUACGUCAUUUUCGAAUAAUAGUUGACCGAUGGAAGAACUUUGUAUUCCGAUCUCUUAGCUGCAACCAUUGGACCCUAGAUUUCUGCUUCUAAAAUAACUCUUGCAUAGAUAGAUUCAUAUUGUACUCACGUAGCAGUCGCAAGGGAGUCAUAUGGGAGCCAUGAUCAAAGUAAGAAGACUGUGAUUCCAUAAUUUGAAGGGACAAAAUUUGCUGAUAUAACUCUUCUCCUCG